AGCGAAGUGGCAACAUUCUACUAAUAUGAACAAAUUGUCUACUUGAAGUUAUUGAAUCCAAAAUUUAUGUAUUUACUGAUGCGUAUUUCGAAAUGGAUUUUUCUACAUCUAGGUCUUCAACAAUUUGCUGAAACAUCUACUUUAUUAAUUUUUAGAACUUGUUGAACAUGGCAGAAACAAGUAUUAAAUAAUUCUGAAGUGUUGUCAACUGCCUGAAUUAAAGCUCUAGAUAUUUGAGUGCUGGAUAUUAUGUUGAGUUCUAUAGACGGGUCAAAGUCUGUCCAAAGUUGCUAAAAUUGCACUAGCUGUUAAAAAAAUGAAUUUUGUCAACGCUGCGAACAACAAAUCUACUUUCGUAUCAAAUCCACAGAAAAGCAAGGAAUCCUCUUAAGAUUUAUCUAUCGAAAAAUUAUCAGGAUCAAAACUGAAUAGAUGAACUUUACAAGAAGUAUCAAUGGUUCGAUUUCCGCCUGA